GGUUUUGUAGUGUAGCGGUCAUCACAUCGGAUUCUGAUUCCGGUAACCCCGGUUCGAUUCCGGGCAAGACCU
rnacentral:tRNA from 1 species